AUUGAACGCUGGCGGCAGGCCUAACACAUGCAAGUCGAGCGGAUGAAGGGAGCUUGCUCCUGGAUUCAGCGGCGGACGGGUGAGUAAUGCCUAUGAAUCUGCCUGGUAGUGGGGGAUAACGUCCGGAAACGGGCGCUAAUACCGCAUACGUCCUUAUGGCGAAAGUGGGGGAUCUUCGGACCUCACGCUUUCUUAUGAGCCUAGGUCGGAUUAGCUAGUUGGUGGGGUAAAGGCCUACCAAGGCGACGAUCCGUAACUGGUCUGAGAGGAUGAUCAGUCACACGGGAAGUGAGACACGGUCCAGACUCCUACGGGAGGCAGCAGUGGGGAAUAUUGGACAAUGGGCGAAAGGGUGAUCCAGCAAAGCCGCGUGUGUGAAGAAGGUCUUCGGAUUGUAAAGCACUUUAAGUUGGGAGGAAGGGAAGUAAGUUAAUACCUUGCUGUAUUGACGUUACCAACAGAAUAAGCACCGGCUAACUUCGUG
rnacentral:rRNA from 1 species